ACGGCUCAGUAACACGUCGGUAACUGCCCUAUGGUCGGGAAUAACCUCGGGAAACUGAGGGUAAAUCUGAUAGGCGAGUCUCCCUGGAAUGGGUUCUCGUCGAAACUCGUGCCAUAGGAUGGGCCGGCGGCUGAUUAGGCUGUUGGUGGGGUAACGGCCCACCAAACCGAAGAUCAGUACGGGCCAUGAGAGUGGUAGCCCGGAGAGGGACACUGAGAUACGGGUCCCAGCCCUACGGGGUGCAGCAGGCGCGAAAACUUUACAAUGCACGAAAGUGUGAUAGGGGGAUACUCAGUGCUUACGCUUCUGGCGUAGGCUUUUGUUGAGUGUAGAUAACUCAGCGAAUAAGUGGUGGGCAAGACCGGUGCCAGCCGCCGCGGUAACACCGGCGCCACAAGUGGUCAUCACGAUUAUUGGGCCUAAAGCGUUCGUAGCCGGUUUGGUAAAUCUCUUGUGAAAUUGUGCAGCUUAACUGUACAGCGCGCAGGGGACACUGCCAGACUCGAGACCGGGAGGGGGCAGAAGUAUUCCGUGGGGACCGGUAAAAUGGGAUAAUCCACGGAGGACUACCGAUGGCGAAGGCAUCUGUCCAGAACGGAUCUGACGGUGAGGAACGAAAGCCAGGGGAGCGAACCGGAUUAGAUACCCGAGUAGUCCUGGCCGUAAACGCUGUGAGCUAGGUGUCGCGUAUCUCACGUAGAUGCGCGGUGUCGAAAUGAAGAUGCUAAGCUCACCGCCUGGGAAGCACGGUCGCAAGACUGAAACUUUAAGGAAUUGGCGGGGGAGCAC
rnacentral:rRNA from 1 species